AUGAAAAGCUUUUCGAAUACACAGGUUCCACAGGGACUUCCAGCAGGCAGCAUGAGCAGUGUGAACUCCCCCGCCUGUCUGCUGGCACGAAACCAAUUCUACAGGACCAUCAGUCCCACUGAUAAAGAGAAGCCUGGGUGCAGUUCCUCUGAUAACCUGAAACAACCAAUGCAAAGUCAGGGGACUGUCUGGGUGAUCACUUCCUCACACCAAGGUGUCCCAGGACAAGAGACUGGAUUGAUGAUAAAUCUGAUUGUGAAGAACCCCUUCUCCAGCUCGGCCUCCUCCAAACAGCUGAGCCCAGCUGGCCCUGUGGUCAAAUAG
ensembl:lncRNA